UUUAGUUUAUACAAAGGUUACCUGACAAAUUCAUCUUGCUCUUUGCAAAUAUUAGAUGAUAUAAGUAAUGGAAGCACUAUCUUUAUGCAAACAAGAGCGCACACCUCCACCUGAGACUUAGAGGUGUGCGUCAUGUGUUUCAAUUUCUGAUAGAAACACAUAAUAUUUCUAUUUCGCUCUUUAGACAGUCGCAUGCACGUUGCACACUUAUGGCAUGACCAGGAAUGGAAAUGCACAAAGCAAAUGCAUUAUGACUCGAUGCUUUAAUUUAUAGGAACAUGUAUAAAUUGUGAGUUGCUUUUUGUUUGAUCAACAUUGUUUCUUCGUACGCUUACAUGGUUAUUGAUUUGGUGAUUAUUCAUCAUUUAAUUUUACCAGUACUUACAUGAUUAGUGCUUUUGUACAUCCCUUGCAGUGAACAAGCAGACUAGCAGAGAAAAGAUUGAAGGUACUUCAAAUUUUAUUGAAGAGGAUUCUGAUGGCCGGAUUUACAAGAUGCUUCAUAUGUUGGAUCAAAUUCUCAAUCCUUCGGAGAGGAAGAGUUUAUAUUGCGGGCAAGGAAUCAGAUCUUGAGGUGACCACACAUCCAUUCAAACCAGGUUCGUUGCUGGUUCGUUGUCGGACAGUUAAGAACUGAAAUAGCUGAAGAGAACAUUAGGAGGUGAUGUUAGAAGUUUGCUUGUGUGCUACCUGCUGUUGUGAUUAGAAGGAAUUUGCAUGUUCUCACAGAAUGGAAAAGGAGGCACUAUGGUGAGACUUGACUAAAUGUAGAGUUUUGAAUCCCUUUACCAUAGUAGUUUACAUAUUCUUUUCGUGAGGCAAUGAUUAAUCAGUGUUAAAGCUGCUCCGCAUAUUAGUAAAACAAAAUUGUAUUUUAAUUGGAAAGUAUAGUUUCUUUACAGAACCAGCGACCGAUCAAUGUUGAAUUAGCUUUGAAUA